rnacentral:rRNA from 1 species
GACGAACGCUGGCGGCGUGCUUAACACAUGCAAGUCGAACGGAGUGGCGAACGGGUGAGUAACACGUGGGUGAUCUGCCUUGCACUUCGGGAUAAGCUUGGGAAACUGGGUCUAAUACCGGAUAGUGCAAGAUGAGCUCGCGGCCUAUCAGCUUGUUGGUGGGGUAAUGGCCUACCAAGGCGUCGACGGGUAGCCGGCCUGAGAGGGUGUACGGCCACAUGGGUACUGAGAGACGGACCAGACGCCUACGGGAGGCAGCGGUGGGGAAUAUUGCACAAUGGUCGGAAGCGUGAUGCAGCGACGCCGCGUGGGUGAUGAAGUCUUUGGGGGUGUAAACUCCUUUCGACAGGGACGCGGUACCUGUAUAAGAAGCACCGGCUAACUACGUGCCAGCCGCCGCGGUAAUUC